CCUACAUAAUUGUAAGGUCCUUGAUGGCAGGGAGGAGGUCUGAUUUAUUGGCAUGUCCCCAGGGCCUAGAAGAUGGAGAAGCACAAAGUACAUGCUUGCAAACUCUAGACUUCUGCAUCAGACCAAAGGUCAUUACUUAUUCAAGAAACACUGAUCACCACCUAUCAUGUGCCAGGCAAGUAGUGAAGAAUCAGCACAAUGGAAGCACAAGAAAUGGAGACAUAAGAGAGAAUGACCUUCCAUCAACAGAGUUGCCAUCAAAGGUCUGGGUUUAUCAAGAUGAAAAAUGACCAGCUGGUAAACCUCCCUAACAUCUGACCCAGAGUGAGCUUCUGAAGAAUGGUUGGGGGACAUCUGGGUUAAAAUUAAAACUGUGCACAUGAGAACAUAAAACCAUGUGCUGUUUUUAAGUUGUUUUUAAGUCAAUCACUUGGGCCAUAGCACUAAGGAUCUGCUCAGUUCUUGUCCACUCCCAGGAGAAAAGAAUCAAAAGAGCACAAGUAUUUGAACAUGGCAGGUUUUUCCAUCAAGGCUCAACCUCUUCAUGCAUGGAAAGAAAAGGCUCUUUCCAAACCUGUAAAGGGCAAGCAUGGUAGUGUCUGCAGCCCUAAAACAGAUAUAAAUAAGACAACUGGAGUCAUGGGCCUGAGGGUUCAAUCUUAAUAGGUUGAGAGUAGGGAGGUGGGGAAAGGAGACAGAAAUUAAAUAAACCUGAACCACAGCCAGAAAUCAAACCCAACACCUUCUACUUGAUGUGAUGGCUCUUCCAGGAGCCUGUUAACACCUCAUAACUUAACUGACACCCACAAAAGAGACCCUUCCACAGCGGGAACAUAUGACAAUCCACACACCCAGAAGUGAUCGCAGUCUCUGGAGCAGAACAGACAAUUCUUCCCAGAAAGGCUCAGCAGUGAAGAAGUAAAAGAAUAUAGGGACAUUUUUUUAAUGUCCCUCAACAUUCCUGGGUGUGAUUUGUCCAUUCAAAUCCUGGGAAUGCACAUUUUUGUAUUUCAGUGAAGAGCUCCUCUUUGAUAUGUGAGAUAGUGGGUUUCUAAAUCCCACCUGGGAGGCUAGAUGAGAACUUGAGGAUGGGCUGUGAGUUCCUACCAAGAGCUGCUGGGCCACUGAGGUGCUGUCACCUUGGGUACCUUUAACAUAAUAAGAAACAUCCUGAAUCAAGGUCACAGUGGAGGUCAGGGGCUCAGCUGAAGGUCAGAUCUGCAAAGUCAAGCAGGUGUCAUUCCGAACCUGGGCCUUAAAAAAAAAUUAGAGUUGAAAAAUUCUCAGAAGUAUUAUGAAUUGAUAGAUACCUCAUUAGGGAUUAGACAA